rnacentral:lncRNA from 1 species
UCUACAGGUCCUGAACAAGUUCCCUGGAGCACGUGCAAGACUGGCUUGCGCAGAGUUAGAGUAGCAGGAAAGGUGACGGCAACCACGUGGCUUACAUCUAAAGCCAACAAUGCAUUGGGGUGCAGUCGUCUUAGUUCUCGGUGCUGUUGCAUCGCAGCUUGCUGAUGGCGGGUACAUCUUCACGGCACCGAAAAUACUGCGUAGCGAAACGGACGCCCUGUUCCGGCUAACGCUCACGGACGUCAAAGAAGACGGCAAGGUGACGGUCCGGCUUCUCAAGUACAAUAACGACAGCGUCGUCUUGGCGGAACAAGAGUACGACAU